UCUACCCUGACCUGGACUCUCGUUCAGUUCCCACCUUAUCUCCAUCUCCCUCACCCACGACACAGGUUGCGCCGCCGCCGUUGUCGCUUCCUUGGGCUUGUAGCUCCUCAUGGCACAGUCUUCAACCACCUUGUAGGAACGUUGAAUCCAUCUCCGCCUAGCCGCCGCUGUCCUCGUUCUCCUGUCUUUCUUGUGGCGUCGGCGAGCUCCAUCCCUAGAUCGGUGGCGCACUACGCCCAUCAAGAAUUCUACGCCAUAUCUGAAGUCGUUGGCGCGGCACGACCAGAUCGACCAUGAUCAAGCAGUUAGCCGGAGGGCGGAAGUUGGGGUUGUUUCAGUUGGGGGUAUGUGUUCUGACCUCGUCAGCUUUGGUUAGCACAUCAGAUAAGGAACGCGGGUUUACCCCCACACUGGAGGUUUGUGCUGCUAAUUAUCUACACUUGAUGCUCUUAUUUAAGAUACUGGUCAGGUAAUCAUCCUGUAUACUGUCAUAACUUUGUAGAUAAAAUUAGGCCUUCCCAAUACUAACAAAGUUGUUGAUGGGUGAAUAAAUCAUUACGAUUAAUCUUUAAGUAUGGUUGUUAUUGCGACUAGAUUCUUCCCUGAUCUUCGUGCAGCAUGUCUCAGUAGCCCCAUCGUCCGUUAUUAGCUACAAACCGUUGUUUCCACUCAGGCAGAUUAAUGGAUGCACGUGUCACGUGUGAAACCGAUUGACAUUCCAAGUGAAGUUGACAGUGAAGGGUAUAUGUUCUCCACAUGCAAAAUUACUACAGUGUGAUGAAUAGGAUGGAUGUGGUGGUCCACUUGUUGAUUUUGAUGGGAACAUUGUUUGGAAGAAUGACACACAUGAUCAGAAAAUUACUGGAUGUGUACAAACAAAUAAAAUUCGUGGAUAUUUGAGGGAUAUUUGGUUAUGGUGGUUCUCAUAUGAUCGUUUGGGGGAUUCUUGGAGGAUAGAUAUAUCCAUAAUUGUGAUAUUACUAUGAUAUUUGUAUACCGCAUGAUUGUGGACAAUGGUGCACCUGAAGAUGCACAUCCUGGUACAAGGUCGUCUAAGAAACUAGGGAUGUCCAUGGAUAUAUCAGUCCUAAUAUGUCUUAGAUUCAGCAUUUGGCUCGGACAUAUGGAACACAAGACCACUCCAACUAAGUCCAGAUGGUUUAUAAUUGGACUCCACCGAUCAUUACGCAACUCCGGUAUUUCUGCCUUUUCAUUCUGAUCUCAUUUGACAAGUUCUGAGGAAAAGGCAUCUUUUGAAAAAGAAACAGUUGGUGAAGAUUUGCAGAAUAUUCGGCUGGCGAGAUGGUACACAGGCGAUCAUUUCAGCAAGGCCAUUGCAAACGAGAGUGAUCAUCGGCGUCUCAAUCAGGGUGUGGACAAGACCAUUUGAGUGGAGGACAAGAAGAAGUGCAAUUUUGUUCCUUAAUGGACGGGGUGGAUGGUUGACCUGCUGGGUGAUCAUCUCUUCUCUCUUCCAUCCUCUUGAUUUACUUAAUCUUAUCACCUUAUCACGUGAGCUUUGUCUGAUGUUUACGUUUGCUGUUGUUUUCCGUUCUCCACUGGCGCACUGUUGUGCACCAUGGAAUGUGUCUGUCGUCUUAAUUCGGAACUUGGUAGCGUGUGAGCUCUGGCACUGGCAGGCCGGCUGGUUCAUCACUCUCCUCUGA